rnacentral:rRNA from 1 species
UCGAACGAUGAAGCAUUCUUCGGAAUGUGGAAGAGUGGCGAACGGGUGAGGAACACGUAAGAAUCUGCCCCUCGGUCGGGGACAACUCUUGGAAACGAGAGCUAAUACCCGAUACGCUGUGGAGUGAAAGAAUUUCGCCGAGGGAUGAUCUUGCGUCUGAUUAGCUAGUCGGUGUGGUAAUGGCACACCAAGGCGACGAUCAGUAGCUGGUCUGAGAGGAUGGACAGCCACAUUGGAACUGAGACACGGUCCAAACUCCUACGGGAGGCAGCAGUGGGGAAUUUUCCGCAAUGGACGCAAGUCUGACGGAGCGACGCUGCGUGAAGGAUGACGGCCCGCGGGUUGUAAACUUCUUUUCUCGAAGAAGAAACAAAUGACGGUAUUCGAGGAAUAAGCAUCGGCUAACUCCGUGCCAGCAGCCGCGGUAAGACGGAGGAUGCAAGUGUUAUUCGGAAUGAUUGGGCGUAAAGAGUCUGUAGGCCGUAUAGAAAGUCUUUUGUUAAAUGCCUCGGCUCAACCGAGAUCCAGCAAAGGAAACUUCUAUACUUGAGGGAAGUAGAGGUACAGGGAAUUCCCGGUGGAGCGGUGAAAUGCGUAGAUAUCGGGAGGA